rnacentral:rRNA from 1 species
UACGAAGGGGGCUAGCGUUGUUCGGAAUUACUGGGCGUAAAGCGUGCGCAGGCGGUUUUGUAAGACAGGCGUGAAAUCCCCGGGCUUAACCUGGGAACUGCAUUUGUGACUGCAAGGCUGGAGUGCGGCAGAGGGGGAUGGAAUUCCGCGUGUAGCAGUGAAAUGCGUAGAUAUGCGGAGGAACACCGAUGGCGAAGGCAAUCCCCUGGGCCUGCACUGACGCUCAUGCACGAAAGCGUGGGGAGCAAACAGG